UACGUAGGGUGCAAGCGUUGUCCGGAAUUAUUGGGCGUAAAGCGUCUGCAGGUGGUUUCCUAAGUCCACUGUUAAACCUUGAGGCUCAACCUCAAAUCUGCAUUGGAAACUAGGAGACUUGAGUAUAGUAGGGGUAGAGGGAAUUUCCAGUGGAGCGGUGAAAUGCGUAGAUAUUGGAAAGAACACCGAUGGCGAAGGCACUCUACUGGGCUAUUACUGACACUCAGAGACGAAAGCUAGGGGAGCAAAUGGG
rnacentral:rRNA from 1 species